rnacentral:rRNA from 1 species
GGGUUGUGAGGUUAAGCGACUAAGCGUACACGGUGGAUGCCCUGGCAGUCAGAGGCGAUGAAGGACGUGCUAAUCUGCGAUAAGCGUCGGUAAGGUGAUAUGAACCGUUAUAACCGGCGAUUUCCGAAUGGGGAAACCCAGUGUGAUUCGUCACACUAUCAUUAACUGAAUCCAUAGGUUAAUGAGGCGAACCGGGGGAACUGAAACAUCUAAGUACCCCGAGGAAAAGAAAUCAACCGAGAUUCCCCCAGUAGCGGCGAGCGAACGGGGAGCAGCCCAGAGCCUGAAUCAGUGUGUGUGUUAGUGGAAGCGUCUGGAAAGGCGCGCGAUACAGGGUGACAGCCCCGUACACAAAAAUGCACAUGCUGUGAGCUCGAUGAGUAGGGCGGGACACGUGGUAUCCUGUCUGAAUAUGGGGGGACCAUCCUCCAAGGCUAAAUACUCCUGACUGACCGAUAGUGAACCAGUACCGUGAGGGAAAGGCGAAAAGAACCCCGGCGAGGGGAGUGAAAAAGAACCUGAAACCGUGUACGUACAAGCAGUGGGAGCACAGAGCAAUCUGUGUGACUGCGUACCUUUUGUAUAAUGGGUCAGCGACUUAUAUUCUGUAGCAAGGUUAACCGAAUAGGGGAGCCGAAGGGAAACCGAGUCUUAACUGGGCGUUAAGUUGCAGGGUAUAGACCCGAAACCCGGUGAUCUAGCCAUGGGCAGGUUGAAGGUUGGGUAACACUAACUGGAGGACCGAACCGACUAAUGUUGAAAAAUUAGCGGAUGACUUGUGGCUGGGGGUGAAAGGCCAAUCAAACCGGGAGAUAGCUGGUUCUCCCCGAAAGCUAUUUAGGUAGCGCCUCGUGAAUUCAUCUCCGGGGGUAGAGCACUGUUUCGGCAAGGGGGUCAUCCCGACUUACCAACCCGAUGCAAACUGCGAAUACCGGAGAAUGUUAUCACGGGAGACACACGGCGGGUGCUAACGUCCGUCGUGAAGAGGGAAACAACCCAGACCGCCAGCUAAGGUCCCAAAGUCAUGGUUAAGUGGGAAACGAUGUGGGAAGGCCCAGACAGCCAGGAUGUUGGCUUAGAAGCAGCCAUCAUUUAAAGAAAGCGUAAUAGCUCACUGGUCGAGUCGGCCUGCGCGGAAGAUGUAACGGGGCUAAACCAUGCACCGAAGCUGCGGCAGCGACGCUUAUGCGUUGUUGGGUAGGGGAGCGUUCUGUAAGCCUGCGAAGGUGUGCUGUGAGGCAUGCUGGAGGUAUCAGAAGUGCGAAUGCUGACAUAAGUAACGAUAAAGCGGGUGAAAAGCCCGCUCGCCGGAAGACCAAGGGUUCCUGUCCAACGUUAAUCGGGGCAGGGUGAGUCGACCCCUAAGGCGAGGCCGAAAGGCGUAGUCGAUGGGAAACAGGUUAAUAUUCCUGUACUUGGUGUUACUGCGAAGGGGGGACGGAGAAGGCUAUGUUGGCCGGGCGACGGUUGUCCCGGUUUAAGCGUGUAGGCUGGUUUUCCAGGCAAAUCCGGAAAAUCAAGGCUGAGGCGUGAUGACGAGGCACUACGGUGCUGAAGCAACAAAUGCCCUGCUUCCAGGAAAAGCCUCUAAGCAUCAGGUAACAUCAAAUCGUACCCCAAACCGACACAGGUGGUCAGGUAGAGAAUACCAAGGCGCUUGAGAGAACUCGGGUGAAGGAACUAGGCAAAAUGGUGCCGUAACUUCGGGAGAAGGCACGCUGAUAUGUAGGUGAAGUCCCUCGCGGAUGGAGCUGAAAUCAGUCGAAGAUACCAGCUGGCUGCAACUGUUUAUUAAAAACACAGCACUGUGCAAACACGAAAGUGGACGUAUACGGUGUGACGCCUGCCCGGUGCCGGAAGGUUAAUUGAUGGGGUUAGCGCAAGCGAAGCUCUUGAUCGAAGCCCCGGUAAACGGCGGCCGUAACUAUAACGGUCCUAAGGUAGCGAAAUUCCUUGUCGGGUAAGUUCCGACCUGCACGAAUGGCGUAAUGAUGGCCAGGCUGUCUCCACCCGAGACUCAGUGAAAUUGAACUCGCUGUGAAGAUGCAGUGUACCCGCGGCAAGACGGAAAGACCCCGUGAACCUUUACUAUAGCUUGACACUGAACAUUGAGCCUUGAUGUGUAGGAUAGGUGGGAGGCUUUGAAGUGUGGACGCCAGUCUGCAUGGAGCCGACCUUGAAAUACCACCCUUUAAUGUUUGAUGUUCUAACGUUGACCCGUAAUCCGGGUUGCGGACAGUGUCUGGUGGGUAGUUUGACUGGGGCGGUCUCCUCCUAAAGAGUAACGGAGGAGCACGAAGGUUGGCUAAUCCUGGUCGGACAUCAGGAGGUUAGUGCAAUGGCAUAAGCCAGCUUGACUGCGAGCGUGACGGCGCGAGCAGGUGCGAAAGCAGGUCAUAGUGAUCCGGUGGUUCUGAAUGGAAGGGCCAUCGCUCAACGGAUAAAAGGUACUCCGGGGAUAACAGGCUGAUACCGCCCAAGAGUUCAUAUCGACGGCGGUGUUUGGCACCUCGAUGUCGGCUCAUCACAUCCUGGGGCUGAAGUAGGUCCCAAGGGUAUGGCUGUUCGCCAUUUAAAGUGGUACGCGAGCUGGGUUUAGAACGUCGUGAGACAGUUCGGUCCCUAUCUGCCGUGGGCGCUGGAGAACUGAGGGGGGCUGCUCCUAGUACGAGAGGACCGGAGUGGACGCAUCACUGGUGUUCGGGUUGUCAUGCCAAUGGCACUGCCCGGUAGCUAAAUGCGGAAGAGAUAAGUGCUGAAAGCAUCUAAGCACGAAACUUGCCCCGAGAUGAGUUCUCCCUGACUCCUUGAGAGUCCUGAAGGAACGUUGAAGACGACGACGUUGAUAGGCCGGGUGUGUAAGCGCAGCGAUGCGUUGAGCUAACCGGUACUAAUGAACCGUGAGGCUUAACCUUACAACGCCGAAG